GUCCAUGCCGUAAACGAUGUUCACUAGGUGUUGGUCUCGUUAACUCGGGGUCAGCGCCGUCGCUAACGCAUUAAGUGAACCACCUGGGGAGUAUACUCGCAAGGGUGAAACUCAAAGAAAUUGACGGGGACCCGCACAAACGGUGGAGCAUGUGGUUUAAUACGACGAUACGCGUGGAACCUCACCCAGGCUUGACAUGUAUUGGAAAGCCCUAUGAAAGUAGGGCCCUCCCUUAAAAGACUGAUACACAGGUGUUGCAUGGCUGUCGU
rnacentral:rRNA from 1 species